AUUGGCAACAGAUGUUAGCUCAGGGCCAAUCUUUAAAAAAAAAAAGGAUACCAAAUUGUUAGGCACCGAUGUAGAGUGGUCCUGUCUUAUUAAUAAAUCUCUGGCCCUCUUUGCAUAAAUCAUUCCAAGUUGAUUUCUGUCAUUUCCUGCCCAAAGGACCUUAACUAAUUCAGUCCCUUCUUCUGUUUUCUUCUGUUUUGAUAGAAGGUGGAGCCAAUGGGAAGUCAGAAGGAACCACUGAGUUUCCUAAAUAUGAAAGAUGAGGAGGCUUAGGGAGCUAGAGACCAUCAUAGAAGCUGAAGCCCAAGACAGCUCAGACUGGUCAUUGAGGACCUAGUAAAAGACACGAGUUUCUGGCUCCAGUCCCACCUCCAAUAGGCCGUGUUGACAUCAGGCAGAUGGAACCACUGACUCUGUGGGGCCGCAGAUUCCAAUCCUGGCUGGUUAUCAGGAGCAAGCGGGCAGCUCUAAGAAGAUGUAGAUCACCAGGCUCCGCUCCAGAAGAUUCUGAUUCAAUACUCAGUAGUGGGAUGGCUGGGAAGGCGGAGUCACCAGAUGGAAGAAGUCUGGGUCCCUGGGAGCUCACGGAACAAAGCUCUUUACCCCUGAACCAUUGACCAGCUCCGACUUUUACACAAGAGCAAAGCAAACCCCUCCUCGUUGGAGCCCCUUACCAGGAUGAAAGUUUACCCUAUUCUCUACUGACCGUUGUGCCAGCAUCCUCAGCCUAAGCUUCUAAAGAGGAAUAAAGUAGCUCAUUGAAAACAGCAGGGAGAUUUAAUCUGAACCUAAACCAAAUACUGUUAGGCUUGACCAACUUGGUAUACAGAGGAAAAUAUCUGUGUACUCUCAAUGCUCCCCUUUUUCCUCUUUUGGGGGCCUCUCUCUAUAUGCAUAACAUACAAAUAAUUUGUAAUAAUAAAUAGUACAUAUUAAUUAAUAUUUCAGUAUAAUAUAUACUAUUGAGGACGGCGCUAUGAGAAACCAUAAUUUCCUAGGCAUUGUCAAUUACGCAAGGUGUUGGACAGGUAGAGUAAUUCUUCCUUCCGCGCAGUCCUGGGCAGGGACUGAGGCAGGAGAGCUGUGUGCUGCCCUAGGGCAGGGCCAGUACCUCCUGUCCUCACAGCUGGAGUCAGAGCCAUUGUGGUGCUGACAGACGACGAGAUGGCGCUGCGUCCUCCCAGUGCGGCCCAGGCAGCGUCCAGGACACUGGAACCAGAGCACAACAGUGUGAACAGCCCUGCAAGCCCAGCCUGCUGUGCUGCCAAGACCACGCACUGAGGCGGGGUUGUCACAGACCAGCCACAGGGGCCAGCUGUCCCCAGGGGGCGUCAGGGAGGAUGGGAGCACAGCGCUGAGGACCAGACUGCCCUGCCUCAGAGCCGGGAAGAUUCCUAAGUUCCUCUUGCCUCCUUUGCCCCCAGAA